GGACAUUACAUCUGGAUAGUACUGGUCAGGUUAAGACGAUACUGUCUGUCCAAACAUAGCAGUUGAGCUUGUCGGACUAAGCUGGAUGGAUUCAUACAAGGCAGCUGGAGUUGUCUUCCGAGAUCAGUUAGCCUAUGUACGGACUAACUGUUGUACGUUCUGAUGGGAACAGAUACUGAGCUGAACAUGAACUGAUUAGCUAUGGAGAAUGGCGG
rnacentral:lncRNA from 1 species